rnacentral:rRNA from 1 species
UACGGGGGGGGCAAGCGUUGUUCGGAAUUACUGGGCGUAAAGGGCUCGUAGGCGGCCAACUAAGUCGGACGUGAAAUCCCUCGGCUUAACCGGGGAACUGCGUCCGAUACUGGAUGGCUUGAGUAUGGGAGAGGGAUGCGGAAUUCCAGGUGUAGCGGCGAAAUGCGUAGAUAUCUGGAGGAACACCGGUGGCGAAGGCGGCAUCCUGGACCAUUACUGACGCUGAGGAGCGAAAGCCAGGGGAGCAAACGGG